rnacentral:rRNA from 1 species
CUUUAUUAUUAAUUUAGAUUUAUUGGUCUUUAGUUGAUUUAUUAAUAUGUUGUAUUAAAUUUAAAUUUAUAGGUAAUUAUGAUUAAAUUAGUAUAAUUUUAAUGUUAAGUUAAUUGUAUUUUUAAGAUAAAAUUAAGGAAUUCGGCAAAUUUGUUUUCUGCCUGUUUAUUAAAAACAUGUCUUUUUGUAAUUAUUUGAAGUCGGGCCUGCCCUAUGAUUAUUUAAAUGGCCGCGGUAUUUUGACCGUGCAAAGGUAGCAUAAUAAUUAGUUUCUUAAUUAGAAGCUGGUAUGAAUGGUUUGACAAGAAAAAUUCUGUCUCUAUUUUAUUAUUAGAAUUUAACUUUUGAGUCAAAAGGCUUAAAUGUUUUUAAAAGACGAGAAGACCCUAUAGAAUUUUAUACUAAAUUUAAUAUAAAAUUUUAUGGGUUAUUUUUUUUUAAAUAAGUUUGGUAUUUUGUUGGGGUGAUGGAAAAACUUAAAUAACUUUUUCUAAUUAUGUUCAUUAAUUUAUGA